rnacentral:sRNA from 1 species
UUUAGUACUCAUUCUUGUUUUGGCCGUCUACGUGUUAAAAACAGAAAAUUUUCGUUACUGCAGCUGCGCGCUAUAACCAUCCGACUCGUCUAUUGGCAAUUGUUAUUUUCUCAUUGCGAUUUAAACAACCAACCAACCAACCAUCUGUUGUCGUCGUGUAACAAUUUCGUCGUCGCAGUUAUCGUGUGGCUAUGGUCGACGGCCUGUUAGUGUCAUCUCUCGUCGUGGAUUUACGAUAAAAAAGAAAAGCAUUUGUAAAUUGUUGAAAAGGAAAUUUAAAGCAAACUCUAUUCAUGUAAAGUGCUGACAGCUGUUCUUCUGCUGGUUACGCUUUUUGUGUUAUUUACUUCCUCAACGUUUCGGUGGCCGAAAAAAAGAAAAGAAAAACAUUGAUUUUCACGCGGUUAUUACAUUUCGUUUUAUAUGUGUAAUAAGAGUGUUUAAACAACAAAAUCCAAUUUGUUUACAACAAAAGAGAAAUAAAAACAAGAAUAAUUGCUAGAUCUUGCAAACAAAAGCAAAGCGGGAAAUUUACAUCAUUUAAACAAGAAGAGCACUUUGGGUGUGUGUGUGUGCGUGCGUGCGUGAGAUAACAACCAAUUGGCCAAUUGGUGGUGGCGGCGGCAAAAACCCUUCCAAUUCCAGUUGACGUUUGGCCGAUCAAUAUCUUGGUUUAUUAUCCAUCAAUAUUCAUAAAUUAAAUGGCAACAUUUUUCGUUUG